GCCAGACUCCUACGGGAGGCAGCAGUGGGGAAUAUUGCACAAUGGGGGGAACCCUGAUCCAGCGACGCCGCGUGAGUGAAGAAGUAUUUCGGUAUGUAAAGCUCUCUCAGCAGGGAAGAAAAUGACGGUACCUGACUAAGAAGCCCCGGCUAACUACGUGCCAGCAGCCGCGGUAAUACGUAGGGGGCAAGCGUUAUCCGGAUUUACUGGGUGUAAAGGGAGCGUAGACGGCAGAGCAAGUCUGAAGUGAAAGCCCGCGGCCCAACUGCGGGACUGCUCUUGGAACUGCGUGGCUGGAGUGCAGGAGGGGCAGGCGGAAUUCCUGGUGUAGCGGUGAAAUGCGUAUAUAUCAGGAGGAACGCCGGUGGCGAAGGCGGCCUGCUGGACUGCAACUGACGUUGAGGCCCGAAAGCGUGGGGAGCAAACAGGAUUAGAUACCCUAGUAA
rnacentral:rRNA from 1 species